AAAACAUGGAUUCUGACGAUGACAUUGUUGAAGUACAGCCGAAAUAUGCCACCUCUUCAUUAAGUUCAGCAGCCAACAUUAAGCCUCAAACGACAUUCCAAAUCAUUUCAACACCAGGUGCAACAUCUAGAAAUCUAAUCUCGGUUUCGAACGCCCAAGGAAAUAACAUCAUAUCAUCAAUUGUGGUUCCAAGUAGAAAUAUGCCACCAAAUGUAUCUGUUGCAUCACCAAAUUUAUCGAUUGCGUCAUCUAGUGGAGCAGUUAUAUCAUCUAAUUCCUCGGUUAUGCAAUCAGGCAUCUCUUUGUCGAACAAUGUUUCAUCAUUGACUCCAGUGUCUGGAGCUGGUUUUCCACUGAAACUUAAACCAAUCCCAAUACCAAUGACACUUUCGAAUCCAGUACCAGUAAUCGGACUCCCGGGAUCAUCGCAGGACUUGGUCACUGGGAACCCUGGAGCUCCUGGAACUAGUGGAUACAAACAAGUAGCGUCCACAAACCAGUACCAAGGGAUGUUCGGAAAGGAAAUAAGAAGUUUAAUGUAUGGUUUGGGAGAUAGUAAAACGCCUUAUAUAGAAAGUGUUGAGUUAGUCGAACAACUUGUGAUCAAAUUUGUAGUUGAUUUGCUGAACAAAUCACAAGACGUGAGUUCGAGACCGGGUAAUAGAGUUGCAAUUGAAGAUAUAGUGUUUGUGCUGAGGAAAGAUCGGACAAAGUUUGCGCGUGUGAGGGAAUUGUUGACGGUUAACGAUGAAUUGAAGAAAGCUAAAAAGGCCAUCUCAGAUUUGGAUUCUGUUCCUGCUACCUAGUGUUACUCUAUAUUUUAUUCGGUGGAACUGAGGUGUUGAUUACUUAUUACAGACUUUCAAAAAUGACCAUUGUCUUGUUUAUUUUGAUCACUAUAAUUUGGUUUAAGCGAAAAGUUGCUUAAAAUAUUGAAAGGGUACCGGAAAAGCUCAUAUUCGAAAUGAUUUAAACAUGUUUUAUUGUGACUGUUCAUAGCUGAUUUGCGUUAAUUUAAUUAAUUGGUAAGAAAAUCACAGCAGUGGACAAUUGUAACCGACUUUAGCCAGCAAUGAAAGUUGAUCACGCCAUGUGAUAUGCUGGUUUUCAUUUUCGUGUUUAAAAAUAGUUAAGAAGAUCUGUACGUGUUAGCUCUUUCAUUGGUAAUCUGGUGUAAUUUACUUAGUUUUUAAUUUUGCUUCAUUAUUCUUUACACUUCUGCGACUCUGAAAUGUCUCAGUUUUAUAUCUCAAGUGUUACCUCUUAUCUUCCCAUCUUUGUAGUAGUCUUAUUGUCUACCUGGAUUUCGAAUAUAUCCUCACAAGAUAUGACAGGUGGCGGAGAAAGUGUGUGACAUGGUGCUGCCUGCGACCUACAGUGUGUUUGUGGGUGGGUCAACUCUAGUGGCCAGAGACAUCCUGGGGGUGGCCUACUGUCUCGACAUCAC